UCCCAUUUUAUGUUGCUUUAGUGCUCUUAAUCAUCACCUCAUUACCAACCAUAUCACUCUUUCUCUCCUAGCUGUAUAAGAAGAAGACCAGAAGACUAAGAUGAAAAGAAGCAAAAGUGGUGGAGCUGAGUCACUAGCCUAGAGGGAGAAGGCUGUGGUUUUUCUUUUUUUCUUUUUUUCAUUGAAAGGAAGAAGAUGGGUGUUCAGUCCCUCUAAGCCAGUUGGCAAACUCCUUGAGACCUGGGAUUGUGUGUCUUAUUCACUGUCUAGCAUCUAGCACAGUGCCCGGAAUGUAACAAGUACUCAUUAAAUAUGUAAUGUUUGACAGAAUGUUGGAAUACAGUUGGAAGACAUUUCUUCCUGGUCUCUAAAAGCUCUUGAAAAUAUUGUGUCACUUCUUUCUGGGGAGUCUGAUGAAAAAUUCACUGCCAUUCAAAUAGUUUCCUCGCUAUAGGUAAGGUCACACAGCUACU